rnacentral:rRNA from 1 species
CGUUGUUCGGAUUUACUGGGCGUAAAGGGCGCGUAGGCGGCGUGACAAGUCACUUGUGAAAUCUCCGGGCUUAACCCGGAGCGGUCAAGUGAUACUGUCGUGCUAGAGUGCGGAAGGGGCUACUGGAAUUCUCGGUGUAGCGGUGAAAUGCGUAGAUAUCGAGAGGAACACCUGCGGCGAAGGCGGGUAGCUGGGCCGACACUGACGCUGAUGCGCGAAAGCCAGGGGAGCGAACGGG